GUUAUAUAGUCAAGCAACUAAGCGCAUACGGUGGAUGCCUUGGCAGUCAGAGGCGAUGAAAGACGUGGAAGCCUGCGAUAAGGUUCGGGGAGCUGGCAAACGAGCUGUGAUCCGGACAUCUCUGAAUGGGGAAACCCACCUGGUUUCGGCCAGGUAUCUUGUACUGAAUCCAUAGGUGCAAGAGGCGAACCGGGGGAACUGAAACAUCUAAGUACCCCGAGGAAAAGAAAUCAACCGAGAUUCCCUCAGUAGCGGCGAGCGAACGGGGACCAGCCCUUAAGCUGGACAACUGGUAGGAGAAGGCCCUGGAAAGUGCCGCCAUAGUGGGUGAUAGCCCCGUAUCCGAAACCUGAGUCCAGUGAAAUCGAGUAGGUCGGCGCACGAGAAACGUUGACUGAACAUGGGGGGACCAUCCUCCAAGGCUAAAUACUCCUGACUGACCGAUAGUGAACCAGUACCGUGAGGGAAAGGCGAAAAGAACCCCUGUGAGGGGAGUGAAAUAGACCCUGAAACCGUAUGCGUACAAGCAGUCGGAGCAGACUUGUUCUGUGACGGCGUACCUUUUGUAUAAUGGGUCAGCGACUUAUGUUCAGUGGCGAGGUUAACCGUUUAGGGGAGCCGUAGGGAAACCGAGUCUGAAUAGGGCGAAUUAGUCGCUGGGCAUAGACCCGAAACCGGGCGAUCUAUCCAUGAGCAGGUUGAAGGUGCCGUAACAGGCACUGGAGGACCGAACCCACUGUCGUUGAAAAGCCAGGGGAUGACUUGUGGAUCGGAGUGAAAGGCUAAUCAAGCCCGGAGAUAGCUGGUUCUCCCCGAAAGCUAUUUAGGUAGCGCCUCGGACGAAUACCACAGGGGGUAGAGCACUGUUUCGGCUAGGGGGUCAUCUCGACUUACCAACCCGAUGCAAACUCCGAAUACCUGUGAGUACUAUCCGGGAGACACACGGCGGGUGCUAACGUCCGUCGUGAAGAGGGAAACAACCCAGACCGCCAGCUAAGGUCCCAAAGUACCAGUUAAGUGGGAAACGAUGUGGGAAGGCUCAGACAGCCAGGAGGUUGGCUUAGAAGCAGCCAUCCUUUAAAGAAAGCGUAAUAGCUCACUAGUCGAGUCGGCCUGCGCGGAAGAUGUAACGGGGCUCAAACUGGUCACCGAAGCUGCGGCUGCAUACUUUGUAUGCGGGGUAGGGGAGCGUUCUGUAAGCCUGCGAAGGUGUGUUGAGAAGCAUGCUGGAGGUAUCAGAAGUGCGAAUGCUGACAUGAGUAACGACAAUGCGGGUGAAAAACCCGCACGCCGGAAGACCAAGGGUUCCUGCGCAACGCUAAUCGGCGCAGGGUGAGUCGGCCCCUAAGGCGAGACCGAAAGGUGUAGUCGAUGGGAAACGGGUUAAUAUUCCCGUACCUUGGAUAGCUGCGAUGGAGAGACGGAGAAGGCUAGGUGAGCCGGGCGACGGUUGUCCCGGUUUAAGCGAGUAGGGAGUGGACUUAGGCAAAUCCGGGUCCACAAUUCUGAGACGCGACGACGAGUGCCCAAGGGUGCGAAGUCAUUGAUGCCCUGCUUCCAGGAAAAUCUUCUAAGCUUCAGGCUAUUCGAGACCGUACCCCAAACCGACACAGGUGGUCAGGUAGAGAAUACCAAGGCGCUUGAGAGAACUCGGGUAAAGGAACUAGGCAAAAUGGUGCCGUAACUUCGGGAGAAGGCACGCCGGUGUGUACGUGAAGCCCCUGCGGGUGGAGCGGAAGCCGGUCGAAGAUACCAGGCCCCUGCGACUGUUUAUUAAAAACACAGCACUCUGCAAACACGUAAGUGGACGUAUAGGGUGUGACGCCUGCCCGGUGCCGGAAGGUUAAUUGAUGGGGUUAGCACUCGUGCGAAGCUCUUGAUCGAAGCCCCGGUAAACGGCGGCCGUAACUAUAACGGUCCUAAG
rnacentral:rRNA from 1 species